rnacentral:pre_miRNA from 1 species
UAAAAGACAAACCCUGCUUUCCGUGUCCAACGUUUGAUCGUCCGUCUUAUUUAAAAAAAAUAUGAAAAAAUUAAAAAGACAAGUCACGCAUAAAAUAUUAAUCAUGUUUUAUCAUCUAACAACAAUAAAAAUACGAAUUAUAAAAAAAUUUCAUAUAAGACGGACAGUCAAAGUUUGACACGAAAACCCAGGGUUUGUCUUUUU